rnacentral:lncRNA from 1 species
AGGGUCGGAACCAGGGAAGGACGGGAGACCGGACGGGGCUGAACAUUCAAACAUGCCAUAUCAUAUCGCUUAUUUAUGUUUUCACCACACCAGCGGUACACCACAUGGAUCUGUGGCCUGCUGUACAUCAUAUACACACGGACACGGAAAGCAUCACAGGCGGGUGCAGCUCCGACCCUGCGAGAUCCACCGUCGGCGAUGAGCCUGUGAUCUAAGACAUCUUGACGUGCUCCAUGCGCUGCCUCUCCAUGUACUCGAAGAGGCUGCCGUCGUACAUGCGCCGGAUGGCCUCCCUCGACAGGUACCCUUCGUCGUCCCGCGCCAGCACGUACAGGAUCGACCACUCCAGCUUCAUCGCCACCCUGCAUCCAUCCGUAUCAUCUCACACCAGUCAGUUAUACAACAACAUAGCCGCAGCAUGUAGCGACUGAAACUGAAGGUCCAGUCAUGCUGAUCGUGUAAUUAGUCGGUUACCAGCCGAAGAAAUCGAACACCUCCCGGGACCCCUCGGUCAUCCGCCACAGCUCCC